UACGGGGGGGCAAGGCGCUGUUCGGAAUUACUGGGCGUAAAGGGCUCGUAGGCGGCCAACUAAGUCAGACGUGAAAUCCCUCGGCUUAACCGGGGAACUGCGUCUGAUACUGGAUGGCUUGAGUUUGGGAGAGGGAUGGCGGAAUUCCAGGUGUAGCGGUGAAAUGCGUAGAUAUCUGGAGGAACACCGGUGGCGAAGGCGGCAUCCUGGACAAUAGCUGACACUCAGGCACGAAAGCGAUGGGGAGCAAAAGGG
rnacentral:rRNA from 1 species